GAGGAAACUACCGAAUGAGGUUAAAUAUACUUGGUUUCCUUACAAGACUCUUCAAAGAAGAAGCUUCACUUAAAUCAAAUCUGUAACAGGAACAAAGCCAGUUUCUGCUCCUACCGUGGUGACCACAGGUAACGGGGAAUCAGGGUUGGAUUACAGAGAGGGAAUCUGAGAAAUGGCUACCACAUGCAAGGAAGGCAGCAGGCACGCAAAUGACCCACUCCCGAUGCGGGAAGGUAGCGAC